AUUGAACGCUGGCGGCAGGCUUAACACAUGCAAGUCGAACGAGUGGCGGACGGGUAAGUAGUGCUUGGGAAUCUAGCUUAUGGGGGGGAAUAACUCCGGGAACCGGUGGCUACUACCGAGUACCAUGGGAUGAGCCCAAGUGGGAUUAGGUAGUUGGUGAGGUAAAGGCUAACCAAGCCGACGAUCGCUAGCUGGUCGGGGAGGAUGACGAGCCACCCUGGGACUGAGACACGGCCCAGACUCCUACGGGAGGCAGCAGUGGGGAAUAGUGCGCAAUGGGGGCAACCUGACGCAGCCAUGCCGCGUGAAUGAAGAAGGCCUUCGGGUUGUAAAGUUCUUUCGGUAGCGAGGCGUUAACUACAGAAGAAGCACCGGCUAACUCCGUGCCAGCAGCCGCGGUAAUUC
rnacentral:rRNA from 1 species